UGGGGAAUUUUGGACAAUGGGCGCAAGCCUGAUCCAGCCAUGCCGCGUGAGUGAAGAAGGCCUUCGGGUUGUAAAGCUCUUUCGGACGGGAAGAAGUGGCGGGCUCUAACAUAGCCUGUCGAUGACGGUACCGUAAGAAGAAGCACCGGCUAACUACGUGCCAGCAGCCGCGGUAAUACGUAGGGUGCGAGCGUUAAUCGGAAUUACUGGGCGUAAAGCGUGCGCAGGCGGUUUUGUAAGACAGAUGUGAAAUCCCCGGGCUUAACCUUGGAACUGCGUUUGUGACUGCAAGGCUGGAGUACGGCAGAGGGGGGUGGAAUUCCACGUGUAGCAGUGAAAUGCGGAGAGAUGUGGAGGAACACCGAUGGCGAAGGCAGCCCCCUGGGCCUGUACUGACGCUCAUGCACGAAAGCGUGGGGAGCAAAC
rnacentral:rRNA from 1 species